AUUGAACGCUGGCGGCAGGCCUAACACAUGCAAGUCGAAUGGUAACAGGAAACAGCUUGCUGUUUCGCUGACGAGUGGCGGACGGGUGAGUAAUGUCUGGGAAACUGCCUGAUGGAGGGGGAUAACUACUGGAAACGGUAGCUAAUACCGCAUAACGUCGCAAGGCCAAAGAGGGGGACCUUCGGGCCUCUUGCCAUCAGAUGUGCCCAGAUGGGAUUAGCUAGUAGGUGGGGUAACGGCUCACCUAGGCGACGAUCCCUAGCUGGUCUGAGAGGAUGACCAGCCACACUGGAACUGAGACACGGUCCAGACUCCUACGGGAGGCAGCAGUGGGGAAUAUUGCACAAUGGGCGCAAGCCUGAUGCAGCCAUGCCGCGUGUAUGAAGAAGGCCUUCGUGUUGUAAAGUACUUUCAGCGGGGAGGAAGGGAGUAAAGUUAAUACCUUUGCUCAUUGACGUUACCCGCAGAAGAAGCACCGGCUAACUCCGUG
rnacentral:rRNA from 1 species